rnacentral:ncRNA from 1 species
GAAAGCCGUGUGCGGGAAAACGGCAUGCACGGUUUGACGAGGAAGGGCAGGCGAAUGCCUGUCCUCUACUCGAU